rnacentral:rRNA from 1 species
AAACUGAAGAGUUUGAUCAUGGCUCAGAUUGAACGCUGGCGGCAGGCCUAACACAUGCAAGUCGAGCGGAAACGAUGGAAGCUUGCUUCCAGGCGUCGAGCGGCGGACGGGUGAGUAAUGCAUAGGAAUCUGCCCGGUAGUGGGGGAUAACCUGGGGAAACCCAGGCUAAUACCGCAUACGUCCUACGGGAGAAAGCAGGGGAUCUUCGGACCUUGCGCUAUCGGAUGAGCCUAUGUCGGAUUAGCUGGUUGGUGAGGUAACGGCUCACCAAGGCGACGAUCCGUAGCUGGUCUGAGAGGAUGAUCAGCCACAUCGGGACUGAGACACGGCCCGAACUCCUACGGGAGGCAGCAGUGGGGAAUAUUGGACAAUGGGCGAAAGCCUGAUCCAGCCAUGCCGCGUGUGUGAAGAAGGCUUUCGGGUUGUAAAGCACUUUCAGUGGGGAAGAAAUCCUCGGGGCCAAUACCCUCGAGGGAGGACAUCACCCACAGAAGAAGCACCGGCUAACUCCGUGCCAGCAGCCGCGGUAAUACGGAGGGUGCGAGCGUUAAUCGGAAUUACUGGGCGUAAAGCGCGCGUAGGCGGCGUGAUAAGCCGGUUGUGAAAGCCCCGGGCUCAACCUGGGAACGGCAUCCGGAACUGUCAGGCUAGAGUGCAGGAGAGGAAGGUAGAAUUCCCGGUGUAGCGGUGAAAUGCGUAGAGAUCGGGAGGAAUACCAGUGGCGAAGGCGGCCUUCUGGACUGACACUGACGCUGAGGUGCGAAAGCGUGGGUAGCAAACAGGAUUAGAUACCCUGGUAGUCCACGCCGUAAACGAUGUCGACUAGCCGUUGGGGUCCUUGUGACCUUUGUGGCGCAGUUAACGCGAUAAGUCGACCGCCUGGGGAGUACGGCCGCAAGGUUAAAACUCAAAUGAAUUGACGGGGGCCCGCACAANNNNNNNNNNUCCAGAGAUGGAUUGGUGCCUUCGGGAACGCACAGACAGGUGCUGCAUGGCCGUCGUCAGCUCGUGUUGUGAAAUGUUGGGUUAAGUCCCGUAACGAGCGCAACCCCUAUCCCUAUUUGCCAGCGAUUCGGUCGGGAACUCUAGGGAGACUGCCGGUGACAAACCGGAGGAAGGUGGGGAUGACGUCAGGUCAUCAUGGCCCUUACGAGUAGGGCUACACACGUGCUACAAUGGCCGGUACAAAGGGUUGCGAAGCCGCGAGGUGUAGCUAAUCCCGAAAAGCCGGUCUCAGUCCGGAUCGGAGUCUGCAACUCGACUCCGUGAAGUCGGAAUCGCUAGUAAUCGUGAAUCAGAAUGUCACGGUGAAUACGUUCCCGGGCCUUGUACACACCGCCCNNNNNNNNNNGGUAGAGAUACCUUGGUGCCUUCGGGAACGCACAGACAGGUGCUGCAUGGCCGUCGUCAGCUCGUGUUGUGAAAUGUUGGGUUAAGUCCCGUAACGAGCGCAACCCUUGUCCCUAUUUGCCAGCACGUAAUGGUGGGAACUCUAGGGAGACUGCCGGUGACAAACCGGAGGAAGGUGGGGACGACGUCAGGUCAUCAUGGCCCUUACGAGUAGGGCUACACACGUGCUACAAUGGCCGGUACAAAGGGUUGCGAAGCCGCGAGGUGGAGCUAAUCCCGAAAAGCCGGUCUCAGUCCGGAUCGGAGUCUGCAACUCGACUCCGUGAAGUCGGAAUCGCUAGUAAUCGUGAAUCAGAAUGUCACGGUGAAUACGUUCCCGGGCCUUGUACACACCGCCCGUCACACCAUGGGAGUGGACUGCACCAGAAGUGGUUAGCUUAACCUUCGGGAGAGCGAUCACCACGGUGUGGCUCAUGACUGGGGUGAAGUCGUAACAAGGUAGCCGUAGGGGAACCUGCGGCUGGAUCACCUCCUUA